GGUGAUAAAAUCCCCGCUUCCUCUUCUUCAUUAGCUUCAGAUCUUAAUGCUGUCCUAACAAAAAACCGAAGCAUCCAGAAGAAAAAAAAAUCUCCAUUCUUUGAAACCCAGUUUCACUAAUCCAAUGGGGGAGGAAGAGAAGAAAACAGUAGAGACGAAGGAAAUGGAAGAGAAAAAGGUUGAAGAUGAAAAGAAAGGGGAGGAAAAGGCAGCAAAGAGGAGAAGAAAGAAGAAAAGAAAGCUGAAGAAACUAAAGAAGAAUCUCCUGUUGUUUACUCAAUAGAUUGUUUUGAAGGUUUACAUGCAUUGCGAAGGCUGUGCUCGUAAAGUCCGUAGAUGUCUCAGUGGAUUUCCAGGGGUUGAAGAUGUAAUGACGGAUUGCAAGACUCACAAAUAGGUGGUGAAAGGGGAGAAAGCGGAUCCUUUGAAAGUUCUUGAAAGAGUUCAAAGGAAGAGUCACCGGAAAGUUGAGCUUCUCUCGCCGAUACCUAAGCCUCCGGCACCGGAGGAAGAGAAAACAGAGGAUAAAGAGAAGUCUAAGCCAUUCUGACUAUAGUAUAAGGACUACCUAAAUACUUCAAUCUGUAAAUAUCGAUAUGAAUUGAUUUAGAAAGGCAUUCUUACCGGUAGUAGAAACUGCCUUGAUCCAAGUACUGCAGAUCCCAUAAUCCUUCACACUACAAAAUUUAAAAGCCAUGUACAUAAGAUGGGUGAAUUUAAUUUUCAAUGUUUAUAAGGUAAAA